AUAAUACUCCAUAGGUCACGAGAUCUGGAAAGACUUGUGGCUCAAAGUUCAGGCGCUCUAGGAUUGGUCUGCGGCCUAUCAGGUAGUAGUGGGUGUAACGGACCCACUAGCCGAUGACGGGUAUGGGCCUUGAGAGAGGGAGCCCAGAGAUGGAUUCUGAGACACGAAUCCAGGCCCUACGGGGCGCAGCAGUCGCGAAAACUUCACAAUGGAGGCAACUCCGAUGAGGGAAUUCCUAGUGCCAAUGCAUUUUGUGUUGGCUUUUCUUCAGCGUAGAUAACUGAUGGAAUAAGGGCUGGGUAAGACGGGUGCCAGCCGCCGCGGUAAUACCCGCAGCCCAAGUGGUGGUCGAUAUUAUUGAGUCUAAAACGUUCGUAGCCGGUUCAAUAAAUCUCUGGGUAAAUCGGAGGGCUCAACCUUCCGAAUUCCGGAGCGACUGUUGAACUUGGGACCGGGAGAGGCAAGAGGUACUUCUGGGGUAGGGGUAAAAUCCUGUAAUCCUAGAAGGACCACCGGUGGCGAAGGCGUCUUGCUAGAACGGAUCCGACGGUGAGGGACGAAGCCCUGGGUCGCAAACGGGAUUAAAUACCCCCGGUUAUCCAGGGUGUAAACGCUGCAGACUUGGUGU
rnacentral:rRNA from 1 species